GGGUGCUUAGCGCAGUGGUAGCGCGUUCGCUUUGCAUACUUACUGUUCAAUGCGAAAGGCCAGGAGUUCGAUCCUCUUAGCAUCCA